rnacentral:rRNA from 1 species
GAUGAACGCUGGCGGCGUGCCUAAUACAUGCAAGUCGAGCGAACAGACGAGGAGCUUGCUCCUCUGACGUUAGCGGCGGACGGGUGAGUAACACGUGGAUAACCUACCUAUAAGACUGGGAUAACUUCGGGAAACCGGAGCUAAUACCGGAUAAUAUAUUGAACCGCAUGGUUCAAUAGUGAAAGCCGGUUUUGCUGUCACUUAUAGAUGGAUCCGCGCCGCAUUAGCUAGUUGGUAAGGUAACGGCUUACCAAGGCAACGAUGCGUAGCCGACCUGAGAGGGUGAUCGGCCACACUGGAACUGAGACACGGUCCAGACUCCUACGGGAGGCAGCAGUAGGGAAUCUUCCGCAAUGGGCGAAAGCCUGACGGAGCAACGCCGCGUGAGUGAUGAAGGUCUUCGGCUCGUAAAACUCUGUUAUUAGGGAAGAACAAAUGUGUAAGUAACUAUGCACGUCUUGACGGUACCUAAUCAGAAAGCCACGGCUAACUACGUG